rnacentral:lncRNA from 1 species
CUAAUGAAACUCCUAUACAGCCGGCUCUGAGUGAAUUAGUCUUUCUUCACUGCAAUUCCUCUGUCUUGAUAAGUCAGCUCUGACUAGGCAGCAGCAAGCCUGACUUUCCAUCUGUUACUCUCAAGCAAAUGCUAACCUGCCUGCUAAAUGCUAUCAUCCCCAAAAGGAUUGUUGGAAACCAGAUGAAGUUCUCGAGGGAAAUGUAAAAGAAGAAACGACUAUGACUUCCAAAAUCAAUGAGACAUUAGAACUGGAGGUGACAGCUUGAAUACGAUGAAAGUUUAGGAAUGGGGCUGGAUGUGACUGGGGCUGGCGACCAAAUAUCAAAUAUGCCAAUGUCAACGGAAAUCAAAGAAAAUUAUAGAGCAUAAAAAUUGAAGGAAGAAAAUAACUAACAAUA